rnacentral:rRNA from 1 species
UACGUAGGGUGCAAGCGUUGUCCGGAAUUAUUGGGCGUAAAGAGCUACGUAGGCGGUUUGUCGCGUCUGCUGUGAAAACUCGGGGCUUAACCCCGGGCCUGCAGUGGGUACGGGCAGACUAGAGUGCGGUAGGGGAGACUGGAAUUCCUGGUGUAGCGGUGAAAUGCGCAGAUAUCAGGAGGAACACCGGUGGCGAAGGCGGGUCUCUGGGCCGAUACUGACGCUGAGGAGCGAAAGCGUGGGGAGCGAACAGG